rnacentral:rRNA from 1 species
UUGGAGGGCAAGUCUGGUGCCAGCAGCCGCGGUAAUUCCAGCUCCAAUAGCGUAUAUUAAAGUUGUUGCAGUUAAAAAGCUCGUAGUUGAAUUUCGGGAUCGACGGGUCGGUCGCGCCUCUGGUGUGUACUGGCCCUGUCGGUUUCUCCCUUCUGACGAACCACGAUGUCAUUAAUUUGGUGUCGUGGGAAAUCAGGACUGUUACUUUGAAAAAAUUAGAGUGUUUAAAGCAGGCAUUCGCUUGAAUACAUUAGCAUGGAAUAAUGAAAUAGGACGUUUGAUCUUAUUUUGUUGGUUUCUAAGAUCGACGUAAUGAUUAAUAGGGAUAGUUGGGGGCAUUAGUAUUCAAUUGUCAGAGGUGAAAUUCUUGGAUUUAUUGAAGACUAACUACUGCGAAAGCAUUUGCCAAGGAUGUUUUCAUUAAUCAAGAACGAAAGUUAGGGGAUCGAAGACGAUCAGAUACCGUCGUAGUCUUAACCAUAAACUAUGCCGACUAGGGAUCGGAUGAUGUUAAUUUUUUAAUGACUCAUUCGGCGCCUUACGG